AUUGAACGCUGGCGGCAGGCCUAACACAUGCAAGUCGAACGCGUGGCGGAGGGGUGAGAAAUGUCUGGGAAACUGUGUGAUGGAGGGGGAUAACACCUGGAAACGGUAGCUAAUACCGCAUACCCUCAGAUGUGCACAGAUGGGAUUAGAUUGUUGGUGGGGUAUCGGCUCACCAAGGAGACGAGCCCUAGCUGGUCUGAGAGGAUGACCAGACACACUGGAACUGAGACACGGUCCAGACUCCGACGGGAGGCAGCAGUGGGGAAUAUUGCACAAUGGGCGCAAGCCUGAUGCAGCCAUGCCGCGUGUAUGAAGAAGGCCUUCGGGUUGUAAAGUACUUUCAGCGGGGAGGCGUUACCCGCAGAAGAAGCACCGGCUAACUCCGUGCCAGCAGCCGCGGUAAUUC
rnacentral:rRNA from 1 species